UGCGUAGGUGGCAAGCGUUGUUCGGAAUUACUGGGCGUAAAGCGCACGUAGGCGGAUAUUUAAGUCAGGGGUGAAAUCCCAGAGCUCAACUCUGGAACUGCCUUUGAUACUGGGUAUCUUGAGUAUGGAGGAGGUAAGUGGAAUUGCGAGUGUAGAGGUGAAAUUCGUAGAUAUUCGCAGGAACACCAGUGGCGAAGGCGGCUUACUGGUCCAUAA
rnacentral:rRNA from 1 species